rnacentral:tRNA from 1 species
GAUCGUGGUAGCUCAGAGGUAGAGCACCGGGCUCGGAACCCGGGUGUCACAGGUUCGACUCCUGUCCACCGCCA